UACGUAGGUGGCAAGCGUUGCCCGGAUUUAUUGGGUUUAAAGGGUGCGUAGGCGGCUUUGUAAGUCAGUGGUGAAAUAUGGCAGCUCAACUGUCAAGGUGCCAUUGAUACUGCGGAGCUUGAGUACAGAUGAGGUAGGCGGAAUUGACGGUGUAGCGGUGAAAUGCUUAGAUAUCGUCAAGAACACCUAUAGCGAAGGCAGCUUACUAGGCUGUAACUGACGCUGAGGCACGAAAGUGUGGGGAUCAAACAGG
rnacentral:rRNA from 1 species